GGAGGAAGAUGAUGAGUAGAAUUGAUGCGUGAUGGUGAAUUCCACUUGAUCGAUUUUAUGUAUUUCUCACUUCGCUACGUUCUUUCUGAUUCGUCC